AAGCAUAUCAAUAAGCGGAGGAAAAGAAACCAACAGGGAUUGCCCUAGUAACGGCGAGUGAAGCGGCAACAGCUCAAAUUUGAAAUCUGGCCUCGGCCCGAGUUGUAAUUUGCAGAGGAUGCUUCUGGCGCGGUGCCUUCCGAGUUCCCUGGAACGGGACGCCACAGAGGGUGAGAGCCCCGUAUGGUCGGACACCAAGCCUGUGUGAAGCUCCUUCGACGAGUCGAGUAGUUUGGGAAUGCUGCUCUAAAUGGGAGGUAAAUCUCUUCUAAAGCUAAAUACCGGCCAGAGACCGAUAGCGCACAAGUAGAGUGAUCGAAAGAUGAAAAGCACCUUGAAAAGGGGGUUAAAUAGUACGUGAAAUUGUUGAAAGGGAAGCACUUGUGACCAGACUUGGGCCGGGCGGCUCAUCAGGGGUUCUCCCCUGUGCACUCCGCCCGGCACAGGCCAGCAUCGGUUCUCGUGGGGGGAUAAGACCGUCAGGAACGUAGCACCCUCCGGGGUGUGUUAUAGCCUGGCGGACGAUACCCCCGUGGGGACCGAGGUUCGCGCUCCGCAAGGAUGCUGGCGUAAUGGUCACCAGUGACCCGU
rnacentral:rRNA from 1 species